CAGUGAGCAUCUUUAUGGCCAUACCUUGAACUCUUUAUCAGCAUGUCCCCCAGGCGUAGAUGGCAUCUCCAGAAACCUCACCCAGAAGGCAUAAGUCCGCAUCCGUUCAGGUUUGGUCACGAGAUGGCAGCAAUGCAGGCUCCCUCUCCUUCUCCUGCUCUUCCCCCCACAGCAGCUGUUUCUUCCUCCACUGACGCCUGGAACCCCUCAAGAUCAUCUGUGAAGUGCCGUAGGCUGGCCACAGCAGGGCGAAGAAGGAAAGUGACCGCCUCCUGUGGGUGUUUCCAUGGUGGAUGACACAGUGCCGGCCGGGACAAAGAGCCUGGGGCCCAGGCUCCAGCCCAGUACCUCCAAACGUCUGGGAAACCAUAGGAAAGUUUCAUCGUUUUCCUAGGCCUUUGUACUUGAUCUAGAACACAGCUAUGAUACUCCCUUAUUGGGUAGGCAAAAUGGGUAUAGUAGGUAUAAAAAGGCUUCGUAGAAGGGCUAACCUGCUGUACAACUUGGAGACUGUAACAUCAUGGUCAUCACCACCCUUUGCACUCUGAGAGAACAGAAGGAUUUGGAUUUUCUAUCACAGCUCUUAAAGCACAAAGUCACUUGGGGGAGAAUCAAAGACUCCAUACUAUGAGGAGCAAACAGAAAUGUUGCCUGGGUAGAGAGGGGCAGCAAAAAUGUACCAGUCAGGGUAGAGGAGGGAGCUGGGAAUAAUGGUGGCUAAUGGCGUGCAUGGCAAGCUAGAGCUUGUGCCCUUCCUGAAAGAAAUUUUAGAACAUUUUUGAAUGCCAAGCAAACCAAUUUUGCCUACUGAAUUUGAUCCAAACACCAAGGUGUACCAAGUCCUGUACUGAGCUCUGUAGGCAAUAAAAGGCUAAGGAUAUAGAUCUGUAUCCAUCUAUCUAGGAUGUUGAUAUGAAUAUGGAGUAUUAAACCUCAUCAUUUCCUUUGCAGAUGCUAGAAGGUUCUGUGUAGAGGUCCAUGCAUCCAUUAAAUCCACACACAUUAAUGGAAUACCCACUAUAAAAAGCUACACAUUGUACCUCCUUCCAAGUCUAUUGUGCCAAAUUUUGUACCUGAAAUCCUUCUAUUUUGUGCUUCUCCAAGUUUGGGUUAUUUGUAACCAUAUUUGCAGGUAAUAUACAUCCUCUAUUUUAAGAAAUGAGUUCCAGUCCCAAAUCCACAAAUAAAGAAUUAUUAUAAUAAU